rnacentral:rRNA from 1 species
UACAGAGGGUGCUAGCGUUGUUCGGAAUCAUUGGGCGUAAAGGGCGUGUAGGCGGUUUGUUAAGUCAUGUGUGAAAUCCCUCGGCUCAACCGGGGAACGACGCAUGAAACUGGCAAGCUAGAGUACCAAAGAGGAGGGUGGAAUUCCUGGUGUAGCGGUGAAAUGCGUAGAGAUCAGGAGGAACACCCGGGGCGAAGGCGGCCCUCUGGCUCGACCCUGACGCUGAGGCGCGAAAGCGUGGGGAGCGAACGGG